rnacentral:rRNA from 1 species
GACGAACGCUGGCGGCGUGCUUAACACAUGCAAGUCGAACGGUGAAGCUCCAGCUUGCUGGAGUGGAUCAGUGGCGAACGGGUGAGUAACACGUGAGCAACCUGCCCCUGACUCUGGAAUAAGCGCUGGAAACGGCGUCUAAUACUGGAUACGAGAAGGGUCCGCAUGGGCACUUUCUGUAAAGUUUUUCGGUUGGGGAUGGGCUCGCGGCCUAUCAGCUUGUUGGUGAGGUAAUGGCUCACCAAGGCGACGACGGGUAGCCGGCCUGAGAGGGCGACCGGCCACACUGGGACUGAGGCACGGCCCAGACUCCUACGGGAGGCAGCAGUGGGGAAUAUUGCACAAUGGGCGAAAGCCUGAUGCAGCGACGCCGCGUGAGGGAUGACGGCCUUCGGGUUGUAAACCUCUUUCAGCAGGGAAGAAGCGAAAGUGACGGUACCUGCAGAAGAAGCACCGGCUAACUACGUG